UACGUAGGGGGCAAGCGUUGUCCGGAUUUACUGGGCGUAAAGCGCGUGUAGGCGGCUUUGCAAGUCGGGUGUGAAAGCCCUCGGCUCAACCGAGGAAGUGCGCCCGAAACUGCAGAGCUUGAGUACCGGAGAGGAUGGCGGAAUUCCCCAAGUAGAGGUGAAAUUCGUAGAUAUGGGGAGGAACACCGGUGGCGAAGGCGGCCAUCUGGACGGAUACUGACGCUGAGACGCGAAAGCGUGGGGAGCAAACAGG
rnacentral:rRNA from 1 species